rnacentral:rRNA from 1 species
UGGGCGUAAGCGUCCGUAGGUGGUUUAUCAAGUCUGCUGUCAAGCGUGCGGGAAACCGCAUAAGGGCAGUGGAAACUGAUGAACUAGAGUGCGAUAGGGGUAACAGGAAUUCCCAGUGUAGCGGUGAAAUGCGUAGAUAUUGGGAAGAACACCAGCGGCGAAAGCGUGUUACUGGGUCUGCACUGACACUGAGGGACGAAAGCUAGGGGAGCGAAAGGGAUUAGAUACCCCUGUAGUCCUAGCCGUAAACGAUGACAACUAGGCGUGGUUCGUAUCGACCCGAGCCGUGCCGUAGCCAACGCGUUAAGUUGUCCGCCUGGGGAGUACGCACGCAAGUGUGAAACUCAAAGGAAUUGACGGGGGCCCGCACAAGCGGUGGAGUAUGUGGUUUAAUUCGAUGCAACGCGAAGAACCUUACCAAGGCUUGACAUCCUCGGAACCCUGAUGAAAGUUAGGGGUGCCUUCGGGAGCCGAGAGACAGGUGGUGCAUGGCUGUCGUCAGCUCGUGUCGUGAGAUGUUGGGUUAAGUCCCGCAACGAGCGCAACCCACGUUUUUAGUUGCCAGCAUUCAGUUGGGCACUCUAGAGAGACUGCCGGUGACAAACCGGAGGAAGGUGUGGAUGACGUCAAGUCAGCAUGCCCCAUACGCCUUGGGCUACACACGUACUACAAUGCGUCGGACAAAGAGCAGCCAGCCAGCGAUGGUGAGCCAAUCUCAUAAACCGACGCUCAGUUCAGAUUGCAGGCUGCAACUCGCCUGCAUGAAGGCGGAAUCGCUAGUAAUCGCAGGUCAGCAUACUGCGGUGAAUACGUUCCCGGGCCUUGUACACACCGCCCGUUCACCAUGGGAGUUGGUCACGCCCGAAGUCGUUACUCUAACUGCUGCAGAG